GAUGAACGCUGGCGGCGUGCUUAACACAUGCAAGUCGAACGGUGAAGGCGGAGCUUGCUCUGCUGGAUCAGUGGGGAACGGGUGAGUAACACGUGAGCAAUCUGCCCCUGACUCUGGGAUAAGCGCUGGAAACGGCGUCUAAUACUGGAUACGAGCUGCGAAGGCAUCUUCAGCAGCUGGAAAGAAUUUCGGUCAGGGAUGAGCUCGCGGCCUAUCAGCUUGUUGGUGAGGUAAUGGCUCACCAAGGCGUCGACGGGUAGCCGGCCUGAGAGGGUGACCGGCCACACUGGGACUGAGACACGGCCCAGACUCCUACGGGAGGCAGCAGUGGGGAAUAUUGCACAAUGGGCGAAAGCCUGAUGCAGCAACGCCGCGUGAGGGACGACGGCCUUCGGGUUGUAAACCUCUUUUAGCAGGGAAGAAGCGAAAGUGACGGUACCUGCAGAAAAAGCGCCGGCUAACUACGUG
rnacentral:rRNA from 1 species